rnacentral:rRNA from 1 species
UACGGAGGGUGCAAACGUUGCUCGGAAUCAUUGGGCGUAAAGCGCGCGUAGGCGGUCCGGCAAGUCGGGUGUGAAAUCCCUCGGCUUAACCGAGGAAGUGCAUUCGAAACUACCGGACUUGAAUACUGGAGAGGGUCGCGGAAUUCCCGGUGUAGAGGUGAAAUUCGUAGAUAUCGGGAGGAACACCAGUGGCGAAGGCGGCGACCUGGACAGAUAUUGACGCUGAGGUUCGAAAGCGUGGGGAGCAAACAGG